AAAACUUCACCAGUGGAUCCGGAGACACCCUAUUGCCUGCUUAUAUAAACAAAUGAGAAGACCCCACCCUCGCCCAUCCCAGCCAUGAGUUCACUACACCACAGUCUAGCAUCCACCGGCAACUCUGGGCAGGUUUUUUUUUUCUUUUUUUGGCAGGGGCGUGGGGAGAUGGGGAACGUUCCCCACUCCCAAAGCAUCUGCGUGCACCGAAAUCCCAGCCAGAAGAGUGAACGGCGCCGCCCCGCUUUUCACCCGCCUGAUCUCCACCCCAGGUUGGCCUCUCUGCCUCUCUUCUCCUCAGUCCCCCUUCUCCGCAACUUUCCACUCCUCUCCCACUCUGUUUGGCAGCAAAGAUGCCCCCGGUCUCUGCUCUGUUUGGAAGCAGAGGGAAGUCUAUUUUUUUUUUCUGCACAAAACCAGCAAUUGUAUAUACUUUUGAAGAAAAGAAAAAAUGUAAAAAAAAAAAAAAAAACCACAAAAAAAAUCUAAAACAAAAAACCCACACACACGGAAAAAAAAUUAAAAAUGAAUAAUCAAAAAAAAAUUGUUGAGAGGCAAAUAUGCAGGAGAAAGAAGCAAAAACCCACCAGUAUGCACUGAGAAAAUUUAUUUACAGAUCGAUCGACAAAAAAAAAAAGUAACAAUAACCUAUUUAUUGUAUAUACUGUUUUAUUAUAAAUCGUGUCUUGUAUAUUGCAUUCUGUACAUCUGCUGUGGUUUGUGAUGUGCAAAUUCCGCAUGGUUUCAUUGGGUUUCGGUUGCCUUUUUUAUGACAACGAUGACUUUAGUUUUAUUUUUAUUAUUAUUAAUAAUAAUUUUUUUGGCAGGACACACCCAAAGAUCCAAAUUUGUAUAAAAAAAAAAAAGGAAGAAAAAGAUU